rnacentral:tRNA from 1 species
GGGGCUGGGGCUCAGUGGUGGAGCGCUCAUCUCAAAAGUGUGAGGUCCUGGGUUGGAGCCUCAGCACCA